rnacentral:misc_RNA from 1 species
GAUGAAGAACGUAGCGAAAUGCGAUAAGUAGUGUGAAUUGCAGAAUUCAGUGAAUCAUCGAAUCUUUGAACGCACAUUGCGCCCCUUGGUAUCCCGAGGGGCAUGCCUGUUCGAGCGUCAUUUCACCACUCAAGCCUGGCUUGGUGUUGGGCGACGUCCUCUUUGGGGACGCGCCUCGAAACGCUCGGCGGCGUGGCACCGGCUUUAAGCGUAGCAUAAUCUUUCGCUUUGGAAGUCGGGGCCCCGUCUGCCGGAAGACCUGCUCGCAAGGUUGACCUCGGAUCAGGCAGGGAUACCCGCUGAACUUAAGCAUAUCAAUAAGCGGAGGA